CCGCACGGGUGAGUAACACGUAUGCAAUCCACCUGUAACAGGGGGAUAACCCGGAGAAAUCCGGACUAAUACCCCAUAAUAUGGGCGCUCCGCAUGGAGAGCCCAUUAAAGAGAGCAAUUUUGGUUACAGACGAGCAUGCGCUCCAUUAGCCAGUUGGCGGGGUAACGGCCCGCCAAAGCGACGAUGGAUAGGGGUUCUGAGAGGAAGGUCCCCCACAUUGGAACUGAGACACGGUCCAA
rnacentral:rRNA from 1 species